CUGGACUUAAAUGCUUCUGGGCAGAAAUCCAGGACAAUAAGGAGGCUCAUAUUGUCAACUUUUCUACUCUCAUCGUUCCUGUUACACAAUGUCUGAAAGAAAACAUUUCAAACAUUACAUCAAGUUCUUCAUUUGUUUCUUCUAUAAGCUGAGACCAUCCUUGAAAUAGACUCACUUUGGUGUAAUCAAAAUCCCCAGAAUUCAAAUUCUACAGAUUUAAAUUUGGAAAUUUUUCCAGUCAUCACAGACUUUCCAAGACAAAACAGCAGGGAAAAAAACAAACAAUCUAGAGACCGACACCCCUGAAUUCCAUCUCCAUGUCUGAGCUCUCUCUCCAAAGAUCAAUGUCCCUUUUAAUCAAGUCAGCCAACUUUCAUUCUUGUUGUCUUGCUGGGCAUUUAUUAAUAGUGAGAGGUAGCGAAUGACUUUACAACUUCCCUUAUUAUCAGUGCUAGGAGAGUCCUUUAUAUAGCACAGAAAGGCUCAAGUAUACCACUAU